rnacentral:rRNA from 1 species
CCUACGGGAGGCAGCAGUGGGGAAUAUUGCACACUGGGGGAAACCCUGAUGCAGCGACGCCGCGUGAGUGAAGAAGUAAUUCGUUAUGUACAGCUCUAUCAGCAGGGAAGAAAAUGACUGUACCUGAGUAAGAAGCCCCGGCUAACUACGUGCCAGCAGCCGCGGUAAUACGUAGGGGGCAAGCGUUAGCCGGAUUUACUGGGUGGAAAGGGAGCGUAGACGGCAGUGCAAGUCUGUAGUGAAAGGCGGGGGCUCAACCCCCGGACUGCUCUGGAAACUGUACGGCUGGAGUGCAGGAGAGGUAAGUGGAAUUCCUAGUGUAGCGGUGAAAUGCGUAGAUAUUAGGAGGAACACCAGUGGCGAAGGCGGCUUACUGGACUGUAACUGACGUUGAGGCUCGAAAGCGUGGGGAGCAAACAGGAUUAGAUACCCGAGUAGUC